UGAGCAAUCUGCCCUUCUCUUCGGAAUAAGCGUUGGAAACGACGUCUAAUGCCGAAUACGACCUCCUUUCGCAUGAUCGGAGGUGGAAAGCUCCGGCGGAGAAGGAUGAGCUCGCGGCCUAUCAGCUAGUUGGUGUGGUAACGGCUCACCAAGACGACGACGGGUAGCUGGUCUGAGAGGAUGGCCAGCCACAUUGGGACUGAGACACCGGCCCAGACCUCGUACGGGA
rnacentral:rRNA from 1 species